GGGGGAUGAAGGUCUUCGGAUUGUAAACCCCUUUCGGGAGGGAAGAUGGGACGGGCAACCGUUCGGACGGUACCUCCAGAAGCAGCCACGGCUAACUUCGUGCCAGCAGCCGCGGUAAUACGAAGGUGGCAAGCGUUGUUCGGAUUUACUGGGCGUACAGGGAGCGUAGGCGGUUAGGUAAGCCCUUCGGGAAAUCUCCC
rnacentral:rRNA from 1 species